rnacentral:lncRNA from 1 species
UAAACUUUUUAAUAGAGAGAGUUUAACUUAAAUAUAUUGUAAUGAUUCUCCUGAUUCCAAGUGUUGAAUUUCUCACCCUACCCUCACCAUAUAAGGUUCAACUAUUGUAACUCAUAUUGUGUAAUACUGUCUACAGGCAAAACUAUGCAUUUUAUUUUUAGAUUUUGAAGUAUUAGCACAUGUGUGCGUAAAUACAAAUCACUAUUCCUGAAUAGUACUUUGGCAGAAUGUUGCCGAAAUGUUAUGUGUUUCUGAGAGGAUUACUGAUCACAUUUUGGACACUAUGAUUGUUUUGAGAUGUAUUUUUAGCAUAAGACAUAAAGUUGUUUUGCUCGAUGCAUGCAUUGUAUUUGGAUCGACAAAUUGUAUUUGAGUCGUAUGUAAAGAUUAGCAGACUAAGGUAUGGGAAUGGUAAAAUUCUGUACCACUUUUGCAGACACUGCUGACUCAGGCAACGUCGAUUUAAUAACGCACAGUAUCCUGUUGAAAACUUAGCUCUGAAGUCUAACUGGAAACAGUAAAUUUAAGCCAAUCAUAUUAGGACUGUGCCAAAUUCAAAAUCAACAUUUGUAAAAGGAAAAUUUUAAAUUAUUAUUUAUGCUGUGUUGGAGGUGAUUGUAAAUGAGCCUUUUGAUAUACAGAUUGUCCCUAAGACAGAAUUACACUAUAAAAUAACCAUAAUUAUGAACUUCUAAAUGCUGAAAAACUGAUAUAAUUAGUCUGAGCUUUUAAUGGAUUCUCCCUAAAUUUAGCAGUAUUUGUAUGAAGCUUUGUUAUAUUUAUUUAUUAUAAAUAAAUUGAAAAAUUAAAUAUGUUAAUUCUUUUUAUUUAAUUUCCAACACCUUAGAAGAACUGUUAAGAGACUUACAUAUCUUACUUUACUAGUAAUAUGCACAUAUUUCAUGGUUUAGUAAGUAAUUACUUGCUACAUUUAAUGUCUUAAAGCACUGUCCUUAGAAAACAUGGCAGCUUGUUAAUUAACCUAGUUCAUUUUACAGUGCAUAAAAUAGCAUCCUGUUACCUGAAUCCCAUUUAUCUUUUGAUAACCUGUAACAUACCUGUAACAUACACCAACAGGACAUCAUUCACAGACACAAAUACAGACACACAGUGCAGUCAUAGAUGAGAAUAAUGACAUUAAGGAGAAGUUUUGUAUUUCUUCGUAUAAGCCCAUGGCAAUGUUUCUGAUAGUUUUUUCUUCCUGACUGAAAUACAAUCUUGGAUCAAAAGUUGAAGGUUCUGUUUUACAGUCUUAUGGCCUUUACUAAAACAGGAUGUGUAUGUCCUUUGUACAUCCUCUCUGUGUCAAGUGGUUACAUGCAAAGUGUAUGUGUGCACUUCAUGCAGACCAAUAAGAGGCAAGUUGAUGAGUUAAGGCGAUUCUUUGGCUCUCUGCUCUGAGAAGCUGACACAUUCAAAGCUCAUUUGAAACAGGGCAGGUGUAGAAGACUUUCUAACUUGUCUUGUUUGAUUUUAAAUACAGCAAUAGCCUAAUAUCCUAAAAAUAAAAAUGGAACAAAAUACAUUUUCUUAUGUUGCUUCUAUGUUGCAGAUGUAAACACUGAAAUUGCAACAUGUAGUUCCUCACUCUGUAAUUGUGGCUUGAUACAUGAAAGUUUUUGUAGACAUAAUUGCCUGACUGUUUUGUCAUUACAUAAAUGCAAAAUAUAUUUCUGAUCGUUUUUGCUCAAGCAGUUUUAAAGAGUGAUCAGGGAGUUGGCUUUUUUCUCAUCUUCCACACACUAUGUAGGUUUAUUUCUUUAUAUUUACUUCAUUUUCAGUUAAAGAAUCAUAUAUAAAAUAGAACUCUCUGAACUAGAUAUAAAAGAUGUAAUUUAAAUUUCAUUUUACUUCUUAAAAAAUAGCCACAUUUUAAUAUACUCCAAGUAAAUAGAACUGUAUGUAUAUUUUAAAUAAGUUUGUUUAACACAUUUUGCCUACAAAAUUCACCUAUACUACAUAAAGAUGAGAGGUAAAACACUUGACAGCAAAUUUUCCUACAAUAUUCAUGGCCUAUUAUCAAUUAUUAUCAAUAGUAUCAAUUCAAUAUACACCACUGCUUUUAAGAGAAGGCUGGGUUCAUAAAACUCUAAGUCAUGAGCAACACACAACGUUAUAAUCAAUGACUUUAGGGGUAAUUUCCAACACUGUAAACCAGCGGUGUUACAUCAAAAAGUGGAUAACAGAGAAGAUAAGAAACUUAAUGCUAUUAAUUAUUUCCAUUUGGUUUCAAAUAACUUUUAUCCUACAAAAACAACUGAGUUCAAGAAUUGAAUAAUAUAUCUUAGAAAAUUUAAAAUAGACAAACUAAAGUUGGAAUGUGUUAUAUGUUUAAGUUAUUAAAACUAUUACUGCUAAGAACUGGUAAGUUGUCCUUCCUGUGGUAGUACUUUCAGUUGAAUAGGAGAUUCUUAACUUAUAGGGAUGAUUAUUAUUAUCUAUUUACUGGUCAGUGUUAUACACACAAUGGAAGCUGUCCAUAUGGAAAUAGACUUCUGUACACCAUAAUUUGAAUUAAGUAAUGAAUAUAUAUAUAAAUUAUUUUAAAAGUUGUAUAUCACAAUGUAUAACAUUCCAUUUUGACUAUAUUUUGUAAAACAUUUCUGAUGUACUCAGUAUGAUGCUCACAUAUGUCAAAUCAAGUAUUCUACUAUUUAUUUAAAUAGAUAUAUGCCUAAUGUAUUUAGAAGCUUAUUACUCUCAUAUAAUUGUAUAUAUUGUGGCUUUAAAAGUAUGUACUUAUUCUUGCUUUAAAAGUAGUAUGUGCAUUUCUUUCCACUUUAUUUUUAAUUAAUUAUAUUAAGGAUAACAUCCUUUACUAAAUGUACUUUAAAAUUCACAAUAAAGUUUCAGAAAUUGUUUUG